AUUCAGGUAGUUUAAGAUAAAAUGUUGAUUUGUGGUAUCAAAGAAAUAAUAUAUAUUCUGAAUU
rnacentral:tRNA from 1 species